AGUGAACGCUGGCGGUAGGCCUAACACAUGCAAGUCGAACGGCAGCACAGUAAGAGCUUGCUCUUACGGGUGGCGAGUGGCGGACGGGUGAGGAAUACAUCGGAAUCUACUUUUUCGUGGGGGAUAACGUAGGGAAACUUACGCUAAUACCGCAUACGACCUACGGGUGAAAGCAGGGGAUCUUCGGACCUUGCGCGAUUGAAUGAGCCGAUGUCGGAUUAGCUAGUUGGCGGGGUAAAGGCCCACCAAGGCGACGAUCCGUAGCUGGUCUGAGAGGAUGAUCAGCCACACUGGAACUGAGACACGGUCCAGACUCCUACGGGAGGAAGCAGUGGGGAAUAUUGGACAAUGGGCGCAAGCCUGAUCCAGCCAUACCGCGUGGGUGAAGAAGGCCUUAGGGUUGUAAAGCCCUUUUGUUGGGAAAGAAAAGCAGCAGGUUAAUACCCCGCUGUUCUGACGGUACCCAAAGAAUAAGCACCGGCUAACUUCGUG
rnacentral:rRNA from 1 species